CCUACGGGUGGCAGCAGUGAGGAAUAUUGGUCAAUGGACGCAAGUCUGAACCAGCCAUGCCGCGUGCAGGAAGAAGGUACUAUGAAUUGUAAACCGCUUUUGUCCGAGGGUAAAUACCGAUACGUGUAUCCGGUUGAGAGUAUCUGACGAAUAAGCAUCGGCUAACUCCGUGCCAGCAGCCGCGGUAAUACGGAGGAUUCGAGCGUUAUCCGGAUUUAUUGGGUUUAAAGGGUGCGUAGGCGGUUCGAUAAGUUAGCGGUGAAAUCCCGGGGCUCAACUCCGGCCCUGCCGCUGAAACUGGCGGGCUAGAGUUGAGUUGAGGUAGGCGGAAUGCAUGGUGUAGCGGUGAAAUGCAUAGAGAUCAUACAGAACACCGAUUGCGAAGGCAGCUUACCA
rnacentral:rRNA from 1 species